AAUGCUAUGGCAAUGGCCCUAAGUCUCCUAAUUCGAGCAGAACUGGGUCAAACAGGAACUCUACCAGGACAUUAUCAGAUUUAUAAUGUUAUCGUCACUGCUGACACAUUUGUUAUAAUUUUCUUCAUAUUAAUACCAAUCAUAAAUGAGGGCUUUGGCAACUGGUUAGUUCCCCUGAGAAUCGGUGCACCAAACAUGGCAUUCCCUCGAAUAAAUAAUAUAAUAUAU
rnacentral:lncRNA from 1 species